UUUUUUUAUUUUAUUUUAUUUUGUUUUUCAGGCUCAUCAUGAUUUUUUUUUCUUCCCCCUCCGUUACAGAUCUAAGGUCAGUGUCUGGUGGUCCGUCGAUACAUGGGUACUUCAAGGGACUUCGUGACACUAGUCUCUAUUUGUCUGUCUGUGUAUUUAUAUGUUUUUAUGGAGAGAGAGUUGUUUCUCGGUGUGAUAUGGAAAAUGUUGUGUUGUCUAUAGCUCCCUCCAAAACUGGGAUUGCCGAAAAGGCGAUUGCAAAGGGGUGUCUUUUGUCUCCUUUUCCCAAAGCCAACCUGACGGAUGGUCCAGGAAGGCAGGAUCCAGAUGUGCAAACCCCACGUGCACGCCAAGGCAGAGAUCACCAGCGGUCAGAUGCAGCUGUGGUGUAACUGACCACGUUCCUGGAAACCUCAUUCUGUUAUGGUCUUGCCGGGAAGAAAGUACAUAUCACACAGGGCCUCUGGCAGGAAGUAAUUGUCCCCCGAUAUCUACCCUUGUAGUGGUUUAAUUCUUUGACCCUCCUCCCAUCAAAAGAUGGGAUGUGUGUUUCCUCCCCUUGAAUAUGGGUGGGCUCUGACCAAUAAAGUACAGAGGAAGUGAUGCUAUUUAUGUAACUUCUGAGGUUCAGUCAUAAAAAGCCUUUAGCAUUCUCCUAGGUCUCUAGGAAUCUCUUGUUCCUGAAGCCCUAAACCACCCUGUCAAUACAACUAUCCUGAGGUCACGAGUAAAUGCUUUGGAAGAUAAUCCCAUCUGAACCUGUCUUCCCAACAUUCCAGCCCAGGAGCCAAACAUGGGAGUGAAGAUGCUAUCUGGAGACCGAGUCCUCCACCCACAGUUGCUCCAGUUCUCAGCUAUUACUCAUCCCCAAACAUCUCUGCUGUGCUUUCUGUAUUUUGAACCCAGGGAACCUCAUGAAUAUAAUAAGACAGUUGUUGUUUUACACCACUAAGUUUUGGGGUGGUUUGUUACACAGCAAAAGUUUGUGUGUGUAAAGAAUUCAGAAAUGUACAGGGUUGCAGUUAAGCUGUUGGCUGAGGCUUCAGUCAUCUCAACUCAACUGGGGACCAAAGGACUCAGUUCACUCACUUGGUUGCUGACAGGGCUCUUCCUUACCAUGGCCUUCCUCCUCAGGCUGCCUAAGUGUUCUCACAACAUGCAGUUGGUGAUCUGGGAGGAGAGAAUCAGAGAGAGUCCAAGACAGAAGCCACAGUCAGACCAGCCCGUACUCAAGGAGAGGGGUUACAUAAGGAUGGAAUCCCAGCCGCCAGGGACACGGGGGCAGGCUCAGAGGCUGCCUACCACGCACAGCACGCACACAAUUUUGUAUCCUGCCUUUUUCAGUUUUCAUCAACUUAAAUGUUUUGUUUUGCUACAUGUUCUUCAUUAAAAAAAUGUUUUUAAAAAUUAUGAAAGGAAUAUUUAAUCCCCCUCCCUGCUGAAAGCAAUAUUCUUGUAAAAAAUUUCAAAUGUGUAAAUGAUACAUCUGUAAAACUUUUUUUUAUGCUUUCCUAUUAGUUGAAGAACCCAGAGGUAUCCACAAUUAAGUUUUAUUAAUCUGCUGAGAAAUUUUACAUAUACACACACACAGUACUGUGUACUUAGUACUGUGCAUUUAAUGUUCUUAAUAUAUCUUGGAGCUCUUUUCAUAUCACCAUGUAAAGAUCUGGGUCAUUCUUUUUAACAUUGGAAUAUUUCAUUUCAUGAUUAUAUUAAAAAUACGUUAAGCAGUCUCCUAUUGAUAGACAUUUAAAUUUUUUAUUCAUCUAGCAAAAGAUGCAAAUGUACAUUCUUACCCAUGUGCCUUUGCAAACUCAUGCUGGUAUAACUUUAGGAUUAAUUCCUGGGAAGUAGAAUUCCUGGGCCUAAGAAAUGCACAUUUAAAAUUCUUUUUAAAAUAUAUUUUAUUGAUUUUUUACAGAGAGGAGGGGAGAGGGAGAGUUAGAAACAUCGAUGAGAGAGAAACAUCGAUCAGCUGCCUCCUGCACACUCCCUACUGGGGAUGUGCCUGCAACUAAGGUAUAUGCCUUUGACCAGAAUCGAACCUGGGACCCUUCAGUCCGCAGGUCGACACUCUAUCCACUGAGCCAAACCGGUUAGGGCUGCACAUUUAAAAUUUUGAUGGAUAUACAGUGUAUGACUGUGUGUCUCUCUAAAUAAUGGCUAACACUGAGUAUCAGUAAAUUUAAAAAUUUUGUCAGGUCCAGCCAUGGCCAACACUGAAUUAUGUACAUACCUGUAUUAGACUGUUAUGACAUUAGUGUAAUUGAUGUUUACAUUCCUUUUAUUACAGGGUUAGCUCCUUGAAGCACAAACUUAACUGCAUUUCUUUUUGUAGUCCUAGUACUUACUAUCAUACUUGCCACACAGUAGAUACUCUGCAAAUGUUUAAUCAAUGUCAGAGUUGAAUUUAAGGCUUUGAGAAAUCAGAGAAGCUGGUUCAAACCACAAAACCUGCCUCCAAUUUGACCCUUAUUCUCUCUGGCCUUCAUUAUCACAAUUAUAAAAUACAUGUAUAAGACUAGAUUUUUCUAGUCCUUUUCAGAUCCAAAAUUAUAUGCUUCUGAGAAGUAAAUUAAUGUUAUCUUCUAAUCUCUUUACAUACCAAUUUCAAAUUAAAUAUUAUAAUCUAAUCCUAGACCAUACAUUUGCCAUAUUUUUCUUUUUGUAUUGUUUGUUUUUUGCCAUAUUUUUCAAUACCAAUGUAUUGCUUUUCAGUUUAUUUUGACAAAUCAGUCAUAGGUAGGUCUCUAUCUUUAAUCUUCAAAAUUUUUCAGUGGUAUAAAACCACAAGAAAACACAUUAAGCAAUGAGUAUUUGGUUCUGAGAUCCUUGUUUUCUUAAAAUAUGGACCCUAAGUAUAGUCACAGUUUUCUAACAUUUUUGUCUCUUGGGCUAGAUUAAAUAAGCAAACUGAUUAGAGUACUAUGCAAUUGUUAAGAUAGUUUGAAAUACUGGUUAUUAAAAAUUAUUAGGGAAUUAUCAGCUAUCUUCAUAUUUUCAUAAAAUGUCACUAUAUAUGUAUAUACACAAUUUUUUGUUCCAACAGAUCCUUAUAUCUUUUUCAUAUCUACUUGUUUCCAAAAGUUGUCAAUCACAAACAUAAGGUCUAGCCAUGCUAAGAGAAGAUAAGUCUUAUAAAGUGAC